GAAACAAGGCAUUUAGGACAAAUCCCAGUGGGAAAGUCGCAAGACUACUAAACCGCCUGACC
rnacentral:sRNA from 12 species